rnacentral:rRNA from 1 species
UACGUAGGGUGCGAGCGUUGUCCGGAAUUACUGGGCGUAAAGAGUUCGUAGGCGGUUUGUCGCGUCGUUCGUGAAAACUUGGGGCUUAACUCCAAGCGUGCGGGCGAUACGGGCAGACUUGAGUACUACAGGGGAGACUGGAAUUCCUGGUGUAGCGGUGAAAUGCGCAGAUAUCAGGAGGAACACCGGUGGCGAAGGCGGGUCUCUGGGCCGAUGACUGACGCUGAGGAGCGAAAGCGUGGGGAGCGAACAGG